rnacentral:lncRNA from 1 species
CUUUAACAGGAAGAUCCUUAACAGGAGGUGUCUCAUCCUUAACAGGUGCAAAAUUACCAGCAAGCCAGUGAUGAGGAAGUGAAUUAUCAUAAAAUAACUUAACAAUAAGUUUCUCUAACAAAUCAACAGCUUUUGAAGUGAAACCAUUACUGGGUUUUGGUUCUAUUUUCACAAUCCCUCCUCCUUUUUUCUCAGACUCCAUUUUGUGUUUGUGUUUGAAAGAAAGCCUUGAUAUUUACGUAAUUGGGUUUGUGAUAGCGGUGCAAUAUAAUGAAAUGAUGAUGCUUGUUUUUUCUAUGGCUUCCAUUCCAUUCCAUUGUGGCCUUAUAACUGCCACGUGGUUAUCAUAGUAGUGUGUAGAUUCUACAUGUACUUUGAAACUUCCUCCACUUUGUGCUUUGUUGUCAUUGUCAUUUGUCUCAGAGUAGCCACAAAUAAUACCCAAUAUUUUUAUUUAUUUUUUACUAAAUACCCAAUAUUUUUAGAAAAAAGUAUAUGCUCUGACGGUGUAAUCUAACAUCAGUAAACCAAUAUCAAAUAUGUUUUCCGCAAUGUCAUCUUGCCUAGUGUAAUUUUACAUUUGUCAACCAAUAUCAAUCAUGUUUUCCGCCACAUAAUUCACUUUAUCCCACUUUCUUGAUAUAUGGCAAAAUGAUAAUUGUUUAUUAGAUGAUCGUGUAAAAUUAUUUUACACGUCAGUGCAUUUUCAUUAAACUCAUAUUUUUAAGUUCUUAUAAAAUUUAGUGUUGUGUAGGAUCCAAUCAAAUUCGAAGAUAAUUGUACUUUUGGUUUCUUAAUUUCAUCGUUUUAUAGAAUUUGUCUUUUUAUUUUAAAAUUUUACCGUUUUUAUCUCUACGUUUUAUUGUUUAACUAUAAAUUUGCAAUAUGUCAUGUUUUAAAUGACGUGAUAUAUGAUCUGAUGAUGAAAAAAUAUCAACAUCAAUGAGAUCGUAAGAAAGUUUCUUUUUAAACUUAAGGCGUUUGGAUUCGCUGGUUUUUUUAGCUUAUGUAAAACAGCUUAUACAAAUAAAUAAGUUUUAAUGUGUUGUAAGUUUGUCAAGAAGUUAUGUAUUGAAAGUUUAUGAAAACAGCUUAUAAAAAUACAAUUUUAGUUAGUUAGAACUUAUGAAUUAACUUAAAAACUUAUUUAUUUGCAUCAGUUGUUUUAUAUAAGCUCAAAAAUAAAUCAAUCCAAAUGGAUUUUUAAUUUAAAACGUGUUGUAUUACCAUAGUUUAGAUAAAAUACUUGACAUAAGGAUCAAAACUGUCAAAUUUUAAAAAUUGAGGAACUAAUUAUGCAAAAUGAUAAAAAUAUAAGAAUCAAAACUGGAAUUAAGCUAAUUAUUUUGACAAAAAGAUUGCCCAUAUAAUAAUCUGACAUCGGGUCAAAACAGGAUCAAGUUGGCAAUCUUAUUAUUCAUGUACUUCUAUUAAUUUCUUUUCAAAUUAUUUGAAUACUUAUACUUAUUUUAAAAUAUUAAUCACAAAUUAGUUAGGAUAAUAUGACAACAUUGUUGAUUUUUCAAAUUAGAAAAUUUUGUGCUAAGAAACGGACCUACCACUGUAUUUAAAUACAAAAUAUUAUUGAUUUAUAUAUUAUCAACCACAAAAUUACUUAUAAAAUUAAGAAUGCGUGUAUAUAAGGUUAAUUAGGAUCAAAUGACAUCAAGAUGUCAAAUUUUAAAAUAAGACACCUCCGAUAAUUUUUUAUUGGAUAAUCGUCUUACAAAAUUGACCGUUGGAUUGAACUAUAUUAUAAUAUAAAUCAUGUCUAUAAAAUAUGACAUUAAUCGAAAUUUAUUUGAUAGGUCCAUGAGAUACAUCAAAAUUAACUCAUUUUUUGAAUGUUCGUAAAACAUUAAUUUUGAUGUAUCUCAUUGACGUAUCAAAUGAUUUUCGAUUAAUUUUUUUUUACCUUCACCACCAGUUUAAUCUGGUUCGGGGGUCAAUUCUAGCAUUAAAUAGUUUAAGCCUUCUCCCGAUUGCAGUUGCGAGAAUCGAAUUAUGGUCCUCAUUAAUGUUAUAUUUUAAAUAUAUAAUCUAUGUUAUGGUACUUUUCAAUCCAACGGUCAAUAUCUAGUAAAGAAUUAUUGAAGGUGUCAUAUAAAAAGUUUGACAUCUUAAUAUCUAUUAUAUUUAGUUAUUAAAUAAAUAAAAAAUUGUCAUUAAAAUUGUCUACCUUUUUUUAGUAAAAAAGUCUUCUUCUUUUUUAACACAUGGUAAAAAAGUCAUUAAAAUAUAUUUUUUAUAUAUUUUGGGUCAACUCGAUUUCAUCAUAAAUAGACUGUUGAUAUUAAAUGACAAUGUCAUUGCAUGUCAGCAUAACUAUUUAAUCCUAAUCUUUACACAGUGCUUUUAGAAAUAAGUUUUAAAAUUUUAAAAGCAUAAUAGAUACAAUACUAGUGUGUCAAAGAUAAAGAAGAUAUAUGAAUAAGUAUGAUUCCUUCUGUUUUGUUCACUUUGCAAAUGAUAAAAUGGAAACACUAUUCCAUUGUAGAAUAUCCAAACAAAUACUAUAUGGUUUGUAGAAAGAUUUGUACACAGAUUGAGGCAGUGCAAUGAAAUGCAAUGAGGUUUGUCCACAUGUUUACAAUUUAGCCUGUUCUUGCAGUUGAUCCUGUAAAUAGAUCCAUCAAAAAUGAAAUACUAUGCAUUUAAAAUUAGUUUUAUGAAGUAACACUAAUUUUAUGAAGUAACACACACCUCUGUCACAAAUAAAGCAUGGAAACCAUAUGGAACUCUUUGAGGCAAUUCUACAACUGCAACAGGAUCUGCUGACAUUGUUUUUGCAUCGAUAACAUGCACGAAUGACUUCCUGCAGUUUCAAGUUUAAAACCAUGUUUACUUUUAUUCUAUUAACCGUGUUUGUUGUCUUUGUCAGUUGUGAUUGGUUGUUAGUGUAAAAUAACUUUACGCAGACGGUGCAUAUAAUUUAAUUUCAUAUAAUUCAUUGAUUGAUGUGUUCAGAGGAAAGGGAUACCCGGUAUUCUCAUCAUGUACAAAUAAGAUCAAGUAUCCAUCAUCUUCUUCGGAAUCAGUGCCAGGGACGCGUGGAACAAAAACAGCCUCCGAGCCAAACCUUCCUGGUCCCAAGUCAUAGAGACCUUGAACAUUUCCUCCAACUUCAAGCUUAGAUUUUCCCAAAUCCGGUUUGGCGUGCAAAUCAAAUUUAAUAAUCCCAGUAACCUUAGCAAUGCUGUCUAAUGUAGUUCCAUAUACAAAUCGUUGUUUCCUGAUGAAAUGAAAAUAGUAAAUAUACAGGUUAUUAUGCAUAAACUUAAUUCUUUCUCUUAAAACACAAUUAGGAAAGCACAUAUUGUAGCACUGAAAUACUACUCAUUUUCAAAUAAGCACAUUAUAAAAAAGAAUGUGACAAUGAAAAAUACCAACUAUCAGAUUGACAGAUGAUUAAUAGGGGGGAGCACUGAGCACAACCUAACACAGUCACUCAACCAACCAAACCUAUUCUAAUGUUACUUUUUCUCAAGCACAUUUGAUUGCGGAGUUCUGAUGUGAUCUAGUGCAUUAGUUUAGUACUAGUAAACAUGCAUCAAUAGAUUAAUACUUAUUACUUGUAUAUAUAUAAACUAAAAAAUUAUGUUGGCUCAACCCUAAUGAUUAAGUAGACUAAUUUACAAGUUCAGUAUUUGGCCUACCCUAAUUAUCAACAUGGAGAGAAUAAUCUAACCUGCCAGUGUAGCUGUCAUUCACCCUAGGGAAGUCUACAGCAGAUGCUGAUAGUUUCUUUUGAGAAGCUUCACCGGUUUUCAUGUUAAAUCUCAUUUCAUACCUGGAAAGAGUUUGAUAACUGUAAAUAUAGAAUAACAAUCAACAAAAUUUGCUCCAAAAAUUUGCAUAUAAGAACAAGGUUUUGUUACAGCUCAUUUGUGAUAUUUUCAAGCUUUUCCUUGAUGGCCCCGUUGGCCUGGUCCAAAUUUGGAUUCUCUGCGCGGCACGUGAUCAAGACAAUUUCAUCCUCCUCUUCCCAAGCAUUGGCUAGAAAAGGAAAAAAAAAAAGAGUCGUAUAAACGAUAAAAAUGGGCAUGUCUAUCAGAAAUAAAGAAUUUACAGCACAAAUUGAAUCUUGCUUUUUUUUCCAUAACCUAUAAGCAUAAUUCAUUGCUCUUAUUCUAUCUUGCAGUGGUUUGCAUGUUACUAUGAACUGAAAAUCAAAAGAACGGGGAAAUGAAUAUAUUAUAUUAAGGAGAAAUAAAAGCAAACAAACAUACCAUUGUGGAAUAUGAAGCAGUUUGGUAGUUCAAACCAUCUAAUAAGAUUCUCAUCCUUAGCAUAUCGAGGUAGGGCACCAAAACGAGCUUUCUUGGUUGAAUCAAAAGAGAAUAUCAAUGUCUUAUUCUUCACCAUUUCCUGAAAAAUGGAUUUUUAUUCCACAAUUCCAGUUUUAGAGUUUAAAAAAUCAAGCUUCACAUAGUUGAACGAUAUAAUUAACAAACUAAUCUUUAGUCGGAUCAUAUGAAUAGCACCUACAGUACCUUUGGCCUAAAGUACAGAGGAAGAUCCAUAAAUAUUGAAUAAUUCUCUGUGAUGGCAAAGUCAUGCAUCAUAAUUGGAUCUGAUAUUGUUAUGGGAACAGGAUCAUGCAUAAAACCAUCCUUUGAAACUACUCUAUAUGUGAUAUAUGGUGGUGUAUGUGAAUAUCCAAAUGUAAACAUCUCUCCUGCAAAUAGAAAAGUUAUAUGUUGAGAGUAAUUCAUUGUAAUCUAAAUCAAUUACUUGUAUCUUAAGAAACAAGUUUGUCAGAGUUUGUUGUUUAAGUUUGUUAUAGAUUCGAAAUGUUGUUCUGUUAGUUAGUGAACAUGUGAGUGAAUAUAGAUUCAAAAUUUUGUUUUGUUAGUUAGUGACUCAUCUAUAAAUACUAGUACUCUUCAUAAUAGUGAUUACUUCCCUCUCUAUUUUAUAUCUCUUCAUAUUAUUCAUCUUCUUCCAUAGUUAGAAAUUGUGUGUGUGUGUCUCGUGAGCAUAGCUCAGUUGGAAGGGACAUUGCAUUAUAUAUGCAGGCGACCGGGGUUUGAACCCCGGUCAUCCCACUUAUCCACCUUAAGGGUGGAAUUUCUAGCCACUAGGCUACUUGACCAAAAAAAAAAAGAAAUUGUGUGUGUGUUCAAGUUCCUAAACCUAAUCUGCGCCUAUCACUUGUGUCCUGUGUUCGAGUUUUGAGCCUAAAGCACCUAUCGUGUGUGUGUGCAAGUUCUGCGCCAACCGUGCCUAUCGUUUGACUCGUGUUUUUGAGCUCGUUGCACACCAACAGGAAUCACUAUACCAUUAUAUCACUCAACUUAAUCACUUAUAUAAAGAUGGCUUCACCGGUAAAUGGGUCAACUUUUGGAUGAGCAGUGAAGCUAUGGCCCAAUCUCUUGUCAUAAUCUAGCUGACCAAGUGUCUGCAAAUCACCAUCUUCAAAAACUUUAAUAGCAUCUGCAAAAUUUAAAAUGAGACUACUUCAGCACCAUAGGAGAAGAGGUAAAUACGAUUAUAGCUAGUCGAACACUGUGAUACAAUUAUGAAUUUACUAUGUUUUAAAAACUAGACCGGAGAUCAAACCAGUGAGACCUCCGGAUAAUGGUUCAAUUGAUUCAGUUGGUUGAACCACGACAAAUAAAUAAAAAUGUAUUAAAAAGUAAAUAUAAAGUAAAAAAUGAAAACUGGUUGAACCAACUGUGAUUCAACUCCAGUCCAAUCUAGUUCAAUCAAACUGUAAUGUAAUCAGGAUCAAACCAGCCGGCAAACUGGCUGGUUUCUGGUAGCACCGGCUGAUUCGGUCUGGUUUUCAUAACAUUGUGAUUAAGUCACUAAUUAGACUGAAGUUGCUUUCUCCAAGAGAGAUGGAAAAUAAAACUUGUUGCUUAAGAUCAUAAUGGCUGAACUUGAUGAAUCUUUUUAACCACUAUGUUCUCUAUUUUAUUGAUGGCAUUUUAAAUAGAACAAGUUUAUAUCUUUCAUAUAAGCAAAAGUGUAAAACAGAAAGGAAAAGUACUCACAAGGUUUGUCUCCUUCUGAGAGUGCUAGAAGCUUUUGAUGGUGAUAUACGAGAGCUGUAUUAGCUGCUCGGCAUAAGAAUAUGAACACAUGUUAGUUUCAUAUCUUCAAGUCAUACACAAGACGAAGUAUCAUCAUGUAACAAAUUCUCCAUUCACUUUAAAGAAAUUGAGAGAGGAAUAAGAAUCAUGUUUGUCAUAUAGGACGCAAAUUGCAUAGCACAAGUUACCUGUUCCAUGUCCAUAAGAAACGUCCAGUACUUUCAGUUUAGCUCGCAACAUUUGCACGUUAACCAUUAACAGUCCAAAUAGACCUUUGAGAUCUCCAAUCUGAAAAUGGCAUAAAAUAAGACGCAUUUAUCUUGCAAAUAUAAACCAAACCAUGUAGCUUUAUAUACUUUUCAUUGUUAUAUUCUUCACUAAUUGUCUAUACUUUUACUUUCUUUAUGUACCUUCAUAAAUUUAGAGCCUCCAAAGUAUUCUUCUUGUUUAAAACGAGAAGUUUUCACAAAGCGGGAAACAUAUGUAGCUUUUCCAUCUUUGAUACGCAAACCAUGAAUCAUUCUGCAAUUAAUUGAUACAUAGAUGAACAUUCAAAGACUACAUACCAAAAUCAUGAACUUGUUAUAGUUACUUUUUGACACAACUUGUUAUAGUUAUUACUGAAAACACAAUAUCACGCACCCAUCUCCGUCAAACCUGCAAACACAGAGGGAAAACACCGUAUGAGAAUAACAGCCACAUUAAACUAAAGAUGAUCCCCAUCUAUAUCAAAUCUCGAUAUGUGUCCUCCACCAAGAUUGGUGAAAGAUCUCAUAAAAUACUAUUUAAAGCAUAAAAAAAAGUUGGGGAGGGGGGAAAUUUUACCAAUGAUAUCCAGCCACGGGAGCAAACCUCGGAUUGGAUCCCACCCUAACAAACUCUCCAUUCAAGCAAUCCUGCAAUACACAUCAAAUGGUAAGUAGUGAGCAGCAAGACCUGAUAAUGCUCUAAAAGGACUAGCUCCCACAACAUAGCAAAUCACAGUUCAAAUCAACGUUGGAAGCGGUGCAUGCAUUUAGUCCCCGACAACUCCUUAAAUAGAAUUGCAUCAGGAGAUCUUUGAGUUCACGAAAAAAUAAUAAUCCAAGAACUGACUGAAAGAUGGACAUGGCUGUAAGUUUUCGUAUAAUCACGAGACCUUCUCAUGAAAUCUACAAACACCGACUGAUUUGAGUGAAGGUGAAAAUAUGUCGAUAUAUCAACCAACAUACAGUUCUUUUUUUUGUUAUAGCUAGCUAGAAUUUUUAUUGUUGGCUUUCAAUUUUCAAUAUGAACGACUUUUCAGUGCUUGAGAUUAAGACUUACUUAUAUUCAUUACCUUACAAAAAGUAUUAGAAAAUUUCCAAACCAUAAAAUCUUCAAAUAUUUGAAGCACAUUUCCAAUAUUUCAUCUUGUUUGUUACAAGAAUACAGCUGCUUCAAUAUUCUUCACAUAGCAUAGAAAGGUUACUCGGUGAUAAUGAGCCUCAGAUAAGAAUUACAAACCUAGUCUUUAUCAUCAAUAAGCAAAAUUCAAACUUUUUAAUUAAUUAUCAUUUAAAGAUGUGUUAGUGGUCCCAAUAAAUAAGUUUUCCAACAAUACUUAAUAAAACCAACUCAAAAAGCCAAACAUUUUUAAUGAUAGUGACACAUGAAUUCAUGCUUGUGUAAAAAAGCUUCAACUAGUGCAUGUUUGGAUUCACUUUUAAGAGUGACAAAAGCGGCUCUAAAAACUUCAAAUUCAUUUUGGUAUGUUUGAUUUUAGAUUAUAAUUGAUUUUGCUUCUAGAACUAAUUCUAAUAAGCCAAUAUUUGUAGCUUUUAUCUCCAAACGUGAAAUUUACUCUCCAAUUUAUUGUUCAAUUCACUUUCAUGUAAAUGUAUCCAAACAUAAACUUAUUUUAUCAACGUCCAGGGGUUGGCCGGGUAACAUAGGGUUGAGACAAUGAAGUGUACUUCUCUCUAGGUCUCAUUUUGGAAUCCUCUCUGUGCCAAUUUCUUGUGUUGAGUCAGUCCAUACAAAAUUUUGCUCUAACAUCUAUCUGGUCCCCCCACUAGUGGACGGUGAGAUAGGGCUUCUGGACUAGUCGAUCCUUAGGCCGGAUACCAAGUUUCCAAAAAAUAUAUAUUAUCUUUUCUUUCUUUUUUAAAAACUAAUCGGAGGGACGCCAAUCCCACCAUCCACUAGCGGGGCCAUUUUAAGCGGACUGACCCAACACAAGAAAUGACAUUGGGAAGAUUCGAAUUUGAAACCUUGAGAGGAGCACACUCAAAGUCCCAUUUAUCUUAAACUCACUUUUAACAAAAUAAGCACAAUUUAACAAAACCAUUCAAUCAAAAAUCAAUUUUCACAACCAUAAAAAACAAACACACACUAGAUUAGUGUGUCAAGUUUAAUUCUUUUUUCUCCGAUCAUCUAGAUUCUGUUAAUUCCUUAUCUGGCUCUUCCACUUCUAACUGAUAAAACAUACAACAACAUUAACAAAAACAACAGAAGCAAUUUUGACUAACCGGAAGGUGUCCUUUAACAGGAAGAUCCUUAACAGGAGGUGUCUCAUCUUUAACAGGUGCAAAAUUACCAGCAAGCCAGUGAUGAGGAAGUGAAUUAUCAUAAAAUAACUUAACAAUAAGCUUCUCUAACAAAUCAACAGCUUUUGAAGUAAAACCAUUACUUGGUUUUGGUUCCACCUUCACAAUCCCUUCUCCUUUUUUCUCAGACUCCAUUUUGUGUUUCUGUUAGAAAAGUCUUCGCUGGCCUAGCAAACUGCCAGGUGGUU